rnacentral:ribozyme from 13 species
UAACUAAACAAACACGACCAUAAAGAAAAUGUGCCAUGAGGAAUCAGGAAUCAUGGAACUCUCAACAACUUAUGGUUUCGUUUUGUUUCUCUUUUCCCUUUCUUUCACUCACUCUUCUUUCUCUCUCC